ensembl:lncRNA
AUUCCAGGUACCUUACAAGCAUGUAGGUAGAGUCAAGUGAUAAGAAAGUGUCUUCUCAGUGCCCCAAAUCAUACUGAAUUGGUGGCCACUAUCAUAAUGCUUGUUGUGGAGAAGGAACUGGCACUCUACUCCUGUACUCUUACCUGGAAAAUCCCAUGGACGGAGGAGCCUGAAAGGGGUGCUUGGUUUGUCCGAAGAGAGCAGUGACAGCAGUCCUGGCUACAGAAAAAGCUACUAUAUAGUUCCAGUGCUGCCAAUUCAAAGACCGAUGGAGCGACCAGAGUAUGCUUACAACAGGGAGGCAGCGGCCUUGCUAGCUUUGUGGCCAUCCAGCAUUUUUGGGGUGCCAGAUGGAAUUAGGCCCAGAGUCAGCACGGUGGCACACGUCCAGCUUCAGCCAGUGCCCGUCAUUUCCAGACCGAGCGCGUCCACCUGGGCCCCUUCCCUGUCUGGGAGCACAGCUGUGAGCAGCCCUGUCCUCACACCCUCUGCCCAGCCCAAGACCUCGGAGGGGAACAGAGAGGCCUCUGCACCUGGGAACCUGGGGACCUACUGUGGCAUGUCAGCCAGGUUUUCCCCGACACCCCAAGUUCUGACAACUCCAGGUCUCCCCACAAAGGGUGCACAUCACAGCACUAGCUCCCCCACCUCCUCUCCAACUAAGGAGCCUCGAGGAGACAUGUAAGCUGAAGUCUGGGAGGAGGCCAGGCCCCCACGUCUGCAGGGACUGCUAUCUGUCUGUGGAAGCUACCCUCAAGGGAAGUCUUCAAAGCGCAGGUGUUCCUGGUCACAGUCAUUCACCCCCGGGGAUGUAUCCUCUGAACAUAUUUUUAUCACAGGAUUCACCUCAAUCACCAACUCCUAUAGAAAUGAAGUUCCAUAAGGAAGCUCCAUAGAACCAGGACAGUGGCAUAGUCUUUGAGGCAAUUUCUCAGUUACCUAAAAAUAAAACAGCAC